AUACGGAGGGGGUUAGCGUUGUUCGGAAUUACUGGGCGUAAAGCGCACGUAGGCGGAUUGGAAAGUUGGGGGUGAAAUCCCAGGGCUCAACCCUGGAACUGCCUCCAAAACUAACAGUCUAGAGUUCGAGAGAGGUGAGUGGAAUUCCAAGUGUAGAGGUGAAAUUCGUAGAUAUUUGGAGGAACACCAGUGGCGAAGGCGGCUCACUGGCUCGAUACUGACGCUGAGGUGCGAAAGCGUGGGGAGCAAACAGGAGUAGAAACCCGAGUAGUCC
rnacentral:rRNA from 1 species